GUGGGUCGAUGAAGAACGCAGCCAACUGCGAUAAAUAGUGUGAACUGCAGAAACCUUGAACACAAAACAUUCGAAUGCGCAUUGCGCCACCGGAGUAACAUCAGGUGGCACGUCUGGCUCAGGGU
rnacentral:rRNA from 1 species